rnacentral:RNase_P_RNA from 1 species
UUUGCUGGACGUGUGCUCGCUCGGAGCAUUAGGUUUUUCGAGAGGAAAGUCCGGACAUCUCAGGGCAUGAUUCCAGGCGAAAGUCUGGGCUGUGAAAUUAUAAAAAUUCGCAGACGGAAAGUGCAACAGAAAGUAUACCGCCGAAAGGUAAGGGUGAAAUGGCGAGGUAAGAGCUCACCGGGGCUGAAGUAAUUCAGCCAGCAAUGAAAACCCAAUCAGAUGCAAGGCAAAAUAGGCAAGGGGACUGCCCAUCCAAUGCUUGCGGGUUUGCCGCAUUCCGCAGGGAAAAUGAGGUUCACUAAAUGGGUGAAGUUCAUUAGAUAAAUGAGCAUGGCGACGAAGGUCGAACAAAAUCCGGCUUAUAGUCCAGCAAAACAU